UGUGUGAAGAAGGCCUUCGGGUUGUAAAGCACUUUUGUCAGGAACGAAACGGUGGGGGCUAAUAUCUCCUGCUAAUGACGGUACCUGAAGAAUAAGCACCGGCUAACUACGUGCCAGCAGCCGCGGUAAUACGUAGGGUGCGAGCGUUAAUCGGAAUUACAGGGCGUAAAGCGUGCGCAGGCGGUUGUGCAAGACAGAUGUGAAAUCCCCGGGCUUAACCUGGGAAUUGCAUUUGUGACUGCACGGCUAGAGUGUGUCAGAGGGGGGUAGAAUUCCACGUGUAGCAGUGAAAUGCGUAGAUAUGUGGAGGAAUACCGAUGGCGAAGGCAGCCCCCUGGGAUAACACUGACGCUCAUGCACGAAAGCGUGGGGAGCAAACAGGAUUAGAUACCCUGGUAGUCCACGCCCUAAACGAUGUCUACUAGUUGUCGGGUCUUAACUGACUUGGUAACGCAGCUAACGCGUGAAGUAGACCGCCUGGGGAGUACGGUCGCAAGAUUAAAACUCAAAGGAAUUGACGGGGACCCGCACAAGCGGUGGAUGAUGUGGAUUAAUUCGAUGCAACGCGAAAANACUUANCUACCCUUGACAUGUACGGAAACCUGCUGAGAGGUGGGGGUGCUCGAAAGAG
rnacentral:rRNA from 1 species